rnacentral:rRNA from 1 species
UACGGAGGGUGCAAGCGUUGUUCGGAAUCACUGGGCGUAAAGGGCGCGUAGGCGGCCACCUAAGUCCGAUGUGAAAGCCCGGGGCUCAACCCCGGAAGUGCAUUGGAAACUGAGUGGCUUGAGUUCGGGAGAGGAGGGCAGAAUUCCCGGUGUAGGGUUGAAAUCCGUAGAUAUCGGGAGGAAAACCGGUGGCGAAGGCGGCCUUCUGGAACGAAACUGACGCUGAGGCGCGGAAGCGUGGGGAGCAAACAGG